GCGUCCGUAGCUCAGUUGGAUAGAGCGCGCCCCUCCGGAGGGUGAGGUCGGAGGUUCGACUCCUCUCGGACGUA
rnacentral:tRNA from 1 species